CACUGUCAGGGAGAAGGCUCUCCUGUGCUCCAAGGGAACUGUCACCCUAGGAUGUUCCCUGGGACCCAUUUCAGCUCCCCUCAAAGAAGUCACCAAGUCCAAGUUUGAAAACACAUCCUGAGGUUUUGGAAGCAACACCAUCACCCAAAAUGGCAGCUGGUAAGCAAUCUGAAACCACAGAAAAGCAACUCUCUUCGAACGAACAGAAACCAGCCAGUUAACGCUUCUCUUCCUAAGCCUUUUGUCUAUUUCAUUUUGGCCAACAAAUUUUUCUCCCCCAUUAAAGAAAACCAGCCAAGGUA